rnacentral:rRNA from 1 species
AACGAACGCUGGCGGCAGGCCUAACACAUGCAAGUCGAGCGGACGAAUGGGGCUUGCUCCUGGAUUCAGCGGCGGACGGGGGGGUAAUGCCCAGGAAUCUGCCUGGUAGUGGGGGAUAACGUCCGGAAACGGGCGCUAAUCCCGCAUCCGUCCAGAUGGAGCAAGAGGGGGAUCUUCGGACCUCACGCUAUCAGAUGAGCGUAGGUCGGAUUAGCUAGUUGGUGGGGUAAAGGCCUAACGAGGCGACGAUCCGUAACUGGUCUGAGGGGAUGAUCAGUCACACUGGAACUGAGACACGGCACAGACUCCUACGGGAGGACGCAGUGGGGAAUAUUAGACGAUGGGGGAGAGGCUGAUCCAGCAAUGCCGCGUGUGUGAAGAGGGUGCUCGGACUCGAAAGCGCUGUAGGUUGGGGGGAAGGAAAGUAAGUUAAUACCUUGCUGUUUUGACGUUACCAACAGAAUAAGCCCCGGCUAACUUCGUG